CUCCGGUUGAUCCCCGCGGGACCCGACUGCUAUCAGAGUGAGAUUAAGCCAUGCGAGUUAACGUAGCAAUACGUGGCGCACGGCUCAGUAACACGUAGUCAACAUGCCCAGAGGACGUGGAUAACCUCGGGAAACUGAGUCUAAACCGCGAUAAGUGAGGAUUUCUGGAAUGGGUAAUGACUUAAAUCUAUAUGGCCCCUGGAUUGGACUGCGGCCGAUCAGGCUGUUGGUGAGGUAAUGGCCCACCAAACCUGUAACCGGUACGGGCUCUGAGAGGAGGAGCCCGGAGAUGGGCACUGAGACAAGGGCCCAGGCCCUAUGGGGCGCAGCAGGCGCGAAACCUCUGCAAUAGGCGAAAGCUUGACAGGGUUACUCUGAGUGAUUUCCGUUAAGGAGAUCUUUUGGCACCUCUAAAAAUGGUACAGAAUAAGGGGUGGGCAAGUCUGGUGUCAGCCGCCGCGGUAAUACCAGCACCCCGAGUGGUCGGGACGUUUAUUGGGCCUAAAGCAUCCGUAGCCGGUUCUACAAGUCUUCCGUUAAAUCCACCUGCUUAACAGAUGGGCUGCGGAAGAUACUAUAGAGCUAGGAGGCGGGAGAGGCAAGCGGUACUCGAUGGGUAGGGGUAAAAUCCGUUGAUCCAUUGAAGACCACCAGUGGCGAAGGCGGCUUGCCAGAACGCGCUCGACGGUGAGGGAUGAAAGCUGGGGGAGCAAACCGGAUUAGAUACCCGGGUAGUCCCAGCUGUAAACGAUGCAGACUCGGUGAUGAGUUGGCUUAUUGCUAACUCAGUGCCGCAGGGAAGCCGUUAAGUUUGCCGCCUGGGGAGUACGGUCGCAAGACUGAAACUUAAAGGAAUUGGCGGGGAGCA
rnacentral:rRNA from 1 species